GCCGGGUGUGGUGGCGUGUGCCUGUAAUCCCAGCUACUUGGGAGGCUGAGGCAGGUGAAUCGCUUGAACCCAGGAGGUGGAGGUUGCAGUGAGCCGAGAUCAUGCCAUUGUACUCCAGCCUGGGUGACAGAGCAAGACUCCGGCUUGAGAAAAAAAAAAAGAUGAGGCUCAUUCAACAUUGAACCUGAGGGUGAUAGCCCUGUUCCUUUUUUUUUUUCUGAGACAGAGUCUCGCUCUAUGGCCCAGGCUGGAGUGCAGUGAUGUGAUCUCAGCUCACUGCAGCCUCUGCCUCCUGGGCUCAAGCGAGGGUCUCCUGCCUCAG
rnacentral:SRP_RNA from 1 species